GGGCGGCAGCAGUGGGGAAUAUUGGACAAUGGGGGCAACCCUGAUCCAGCCAUGCCGCGUGAGUGAUGAAGGCCUUAGGGUUGUAAAGCUCUUUCACCGGUGAAGAUAAUGACGGUAACCGGAGAAGAAGCCCCGGCUAACUUCGUGCCAGCAGCCGCGGUAAUACGAAGGGGGCUAGCGUUGUUCGGAUUUACUGGGCGUAAAGCGCACGUAGGCGGAUAUUUAAGUCAGAGGUGAAAUCCCAGGGCUCAACCCUGGAACUGCCUUUGAUACUGGGUAUCUUGAGUAUGGAAGAGGUGAGUGGAAUUCCGAGUGUAGAGGUGAAAUUCGUAGAUAUUCGGAGGAACACCAGUGGCGAAGGCGGCUCACUGGUCCAUUACUGACGCUGAGGUGCGAAAGCGUGGGGAGCAAACAGGAUUAGAUACCCCUG
rnacentral:rRNA from 1 species